AUGGCCAUGCUCGUGGCGCUCGUGCUCGCUCUCUGCGCGACGAUGGCAAGAGCGGCAGUCGUGGAGCACAACUUCACUGUGGGCGGCAUGAACAUCUCUCAGCUCUGCAUGGACAGCGUGAUCUACACGGCCAACGAGCAGAUGCCCGGGCCGACCAUCGAGGCCACCGAAGGCGACACGGUGGUCGUCCACGUCGUGAACGAUUCACCGUACCCACUAUCACUCCACUGGCACGGCAUAUUUCAGCUGCUGAGCGGGUGGGCUGACGGGGCUCACAUGAUCACGGAGUGCCCCAUCCAGCCCUCCGGCAACUUCACGUACCGCUUCAACAUCACCGGGCAGGAGGGCACCCUGUGGUGGCACGCCCACUCCUCGCUCCUCCGCGCCACCGUCUACGGCGCGCUCAUCAUAAAGCCCAGGAAUGGCACGGACGGUUAUCCGUACAAAGCACCAUACGGCGAGAUUCCAAUCACACUAGGCGAGUGGUGGAACAAGAACGUGGACGAUGUGGAGAAAGACGCGCACCUGACCGGCCUAGGGCCGGAGGUGUCGGACGCGCUCACCAUCAACGGCAAGCCGGGAGACCAGACCUCCUGCAGAGGUGCUGGUAUCUUCGAAGUGGAGGUGGAGUACAACCAGACGUACCUCCUCCGCAUCAUCAACGCCGCCGUCAAUGUCGAGCUCUUCUUCAAGGUGUCCGGCCACAACUUCACCGUGGUCGCCGUCGACGCGAGCUACACCGAGCCAUACGCCACAGACGUCAUCGUCAUCGCGCCGGGCCAGACGGUGGACGCGCUCAUGACCACCUCGGCGACGCCGGAAGGCCGGUACUACAUGGCGGCCAACGUGUUCGAGAGCAAGACCGUCCAGAUCCGGUUCAACAACGGCACCGUCACCGGCAUCGUCACGUACAAGGGAGCGGCGAACGGCACCGCCCCCUCCAUGCCGGCCAUGCCAGCCCCCACCGACGUGGUCGCCGCCGGCAGGUUCUACUGGUCUCUGAGGGGCCUCGUCCGGCCGGUCGACCCGCCGUUACCAACGACGGUGGACCACAGCAUGCUGGUGGAGUUCGGGGUGGACCAGGAGCCAUGCGCGCCGGACCAGACGAGGUGCGGGGGGUUCGCGCUGGUGGCGUUCAUGAACAGGAACUCGUUCCAGUUCCCCAAGAACGCGUCGCUCCUGCAGGCGUCCUUCGACGGCGUCCCGGGCGUGUACACGGAGGACUUCCCGAGCUCCCCGCCGCCGCUGCCGGGGAUCCGGAAGGCGACGGCGGUGAAGAGGGUGAACCACAGCGACGUGGUGGAGGUGGUGCUGCAGAGCCGGGCGUACAGCAGCGCCCUCGGCACGGAGAACCACCCGAUCCACCUGCACGGCUUCAACUUCUUCGUGCUGGCGCAGGGGCUCGGCGCCUUCGACCCCAACGCCACGUACAACCUCGUGAACCCGCGCGUGCGCAACACCGUCAUCGUGCCCGGCGGAGGGUGGACCGUCAUACGGUUCGUGGCGAACAAUCCAGGUAUGUGGUUCAUGCACUGUCAUUUGGACGCGCACCUGCCGUUGGGGCUGGCAAUGGUGUUCGAGGUGCUCAAUGGUCCGGCGCCGAAUAUCCUUCCUCCGCCUCCCGAGGACUUUCCCAAGUGCUACUGA
rnacentral:rRNA from 1 species